UGAGUUAGCCAGGCGGCCGCGUGAACCAAUGGUUCCCGAGGAACGUCCGGGCUCCACAGGGAACGGUGGUGGAUAACGUCCACUCGGGGUGACCCGCAGGCCAGUGCCACAGAAAGUAAACCGCCGUUAAGGUAAGGGUGAAAGGGUGAGGUAAGAGCUCACCGCGUCGCGAGUGAUCGAGACGGCAUGGUAAACCCCACCGGGAGCAAGACCGAGCAGCGUGCGUUGAGGCGUCCCGUCGAGCACGCGGGUAGGUUGCUUGAGCUUAUCGGUAACGGUAAGCCUAGAUGGAUGGUCGCCACGCUUGCACUAUGCGAGCGGACAAAACCCGGCGUAUCGGCUAACUCAUUCG
rfam:Arcanobacterium haemolyticum DSM 20595, complete genome.